rnacentral:rRNA from 1 species
CAGUCGCCGCGGUAAUGCGUAGGUGGCAAGCGUUGUCCGGAAUUAUUGGGCGUAAAGGGCUCGCAGGCGGUUUCUUAAGUCUGAUGUGAAAGCCCCCGGCUCAACCGGGGAGGGUCAUUGGAAACUGGGAAACUUGAGUGCAGAAGAGGAGAGUGGAAUUCCACGUGCAGCGGUGAAAUGCGUAGAGAUGUGGAGGAACACCAGUGGCGAAGGCGACUCUCUGGUCUGUAACUGACGCUGAGGAGCGAAAGCGUGGGGAGCGAACAGGAUUAGAUACCCGAGUAGUCCCUGUCUCUUAUAC